AUUGAACGCUGGCGGCAUGCCUUACACAUGCAAGUCGAACGGCAGCACGGGGCAACCUGGUGGCGAGUGGCGAACGGGUGAGUAAUGCAUCGGAACGUACCUUUCAGUGGGGGAUAACGUAGCGAAAGUUACGCUAAUACCGCAUAUUCUGUGAGCAGGAAAGCAGGGGAUCGCAAGACCUUGCGCUGAUUGAGCGGCCGAUGUCAGAUUAGCUAGUUGGUGAGGUAAAGGCUCACCAAGGCGACGAUCUGUAGCGGGUCUGAGAGGAUGAUCCGCCAAACUGGAACGGAGACACGGUCCAGCCUCCUACGGGAGGCAGCAGUGGGGAAUUUUGGACAAUGGGGGCAACCCUGAUCCAGCCAUGCCGCGUGAGUGAAGAAGGCCUUCGGGUUGUAAAGCUCUUUCGGCCGGGAAGAAAUCGCACGGGCUAAUACCCUGUGUGGAUGACGGUACCGGAAUAAGAAGCACCGGCUAACUACGUGCCAGCCGCCGCCGUAAGAC
rnacentral:rRNA from 1 species